AUUCAUACAGAAGACGCAGAUGUGACCUUCCCUUAUUAACUCUCACGAUGAGUCAUGCUCAUCUCUGUGACUGAGCACUCAGACAUGGCUUUUCAGGUCAGACAGAAACCUACAAGCCCCUUAGAAGGCACCUUCCAGCAAUGCUAAGACUUCUGCUCCAGGACUGCAGCCCCCCUGGCCUCAAGGUGAUCAUGGAGUGGCCUCUCCUGUUUCCUCCUCAGGAGUCACAAUUUAAGAGAGAAAAUUCAAGAGUCCAGAGGCACAUAUGAUGAGAACCUCAACAUUACCUCAGACUCACUGAACACAGGUUUUCCAGAUAUACCUUUCUCUGGAUGGAGUCACAAGAAGAUUCAGACACUCCAAAGGAAAUUCUCCUGAAUAUGUUGGAUUUUGAAGGCAGAGGAGAAGAAGGAAUUCUCAACAUCUUACAAGCUUCUGGUUUGUGUGCUCCUCCUUUUGUUUGUUCUCUGUUAUGCUUAUUAUUUCAUUCUUUCUUUUCUGACCAGGAACAAUUACUAAAACUUUUUUUAGCAUUUUCCACUAAUAGAAAAUUCACAGUAGUGCAUGCUUACUCACGUCAGACUUAGAAGCAGCAGCUUGUUAACUACAGAACAUUUGCUUGAUCUCUCACACAGCCUAAUGCAGCAUCUCAUGCAGUGUUACAAAGUCACAGUCUGCCUAAUUAUCACCAUGUAGAGAAAGUGCUGAAAGACAUUGCUUUUGGAGCCCUAGCUGUGUAACUAUGUUAGUAUCGCCCUUUGGCUGGGCUAAUUAAGUGCUAGUGCAACUCUGUUGUAUCUGGUACCAGAGUUGCCUUCAGUAUAUUUGCAUAGCACUGCACUGUGCCAUAUAGACAGCCCAUAGCAGCUAGCCUUACCACAAGAAUAGUACGUACCGGCAUUUGCUUCUCUCUAUGAUAAUGUGAUACUAUAAUAGAAAGAGAAAUACUCUGGAACUCUGUUCCUGUGCAGUUAUAAACGAAUGUGUCUGGAAAAAAACAUGUGGACUUGGUCUCUGCCUCCAUCUAUCAGAGGUUUUUCAGGGUUUAGAGCUCCUGUUUAGCUAACGAAUAAAACCAUGUUUUCUUGACCUGAUACUAAUUGGUCAGGACCCACACUUUGAAAAGAUUUCUGAAAUGAGUGGAAUAAAACUUUCAUGUAACUGCCUGCACAUGCAAAAGCCAGAUACAAUUUCUUGUUUUGAAAUAGUAAGAUAUCACACUGAUACAUGAGUAAUGCACUUCUGAAUACUCUUAGAAACUAAAUUUUCUCCUCCCCAGUGAUGUAUGUGAGCAGAGCUAUACACCCAUGUGCACAGCACCUCAAGAGCAGGAUUUGAUAAGUAAAAUGGUACCAAAACCCAUUGAAAAUUGGGGUUUGCACCUCAUGGUCAAAUUCCCUGACAUGAAUCCUGAGUACAUUUUUUCUCUAAAGGUGAGAUACUCUUUAAAAGGAAAAACGAAACAGCACUGAAAGACUUGAGAACAAACGGUUCAUUAUCAGAAGAGACAGAAUCCCCAGCAUGGGAGAAGGCAUCUCUACAUGGAAGAUGUUGCACUGGCAUUUGAUUUCCCUGAAUGACAAUCUUGCUUAGCCAAUGAACUGGGAGAUUUUAUACUCUAUUGUCAGAGAAACCUGAGGCAUACACUCAGACCAGAGUGUACUUUGAUUCAGUAUCUCAAAAAGAAGGCAUAGCUUUGAGAAGUAGAAAUCCACAAAAGCCAGCAGAAGUCUGCAGGGUGCAUGCAACAUGCUAGUACCUACAUUUUCCUUUGUUUUGUGUAAUUAUUGCUUUUGUAGAAUUUAAAGGUGCAAACAUUUAUACUAGUUUGUGUUCAAAUGGAAUUUUCAUUUUCCAGGUUGCUUCAGAUAUGAAGCAGAAUUCUUAUACUCCAGUAACACAGCUUAUUGUAAAUUAAUGAGUGUAUCAUUAGU